ACUAUCUUUUUCUUGGGGUUGCACUACUGUCCAGUGAGCAUGUAGUGAAGCCAGUACUACUAACGCCUAAGUAACACACUCCUAUCAACUAGAGCUCUGCUUUACUUUGGUGCAAAUUUUUUGCGGG
ensembl:snRNA U4atac minor spliceosomal RNA